GGCAGGGCAACAAAAGAGCCUCAUAGAUUCAAAACACUAGAACGAAUAUCUUCAUAGUCUGACUUAUAAUGGGUUUUUAGUGUCUCAAGACACUUAUUACAGACAACACAGCCUUCUUUAUACCACUAAGUAGACUUCCUGAUGCAUUCAGAAAAGCUUAUUUAUUUGGAGAAUGCUUACAUAUAAUGUUGGUCUCAUCAUUUUAAGUCAGAGACUAAAAAAGGAAAAUGAAUUUUA
rnacentral:lncRNA from 1 species